rnacentral:rRNA from 1 species
CCUACGGGAGGCAGCAGUGGGGAAUUUUGGACAAUGGGGGCAACCCUGAUCCAGCAAUGCCGCGUGAGUGAAGAAGGCCUUCGGGUUGUAAAGCUCUUUUGUCAGGGAAGAAACGGUGAUCUCUAAUACAGAUUACUAAUGACGGUACCUGAAGAAUAAGCACCGGCUAACUACGUGCCAGCAGCCGCGGUAAUACGUAGGGUGCAAGCGUUAAAUCGGAAUUACUGGGCGUAAAGCGUGCGCAGGCGGUUAUAUAAGUCAGAUGUGAAAUCCCCGGGCUCAACCUGGGAACUGCAUUUGAGACUGUAUGGCUAGAGUGUGUCAGAGGGGGGUAGAAUUCCACGUGUAGCAGUGAAAUGCGUAGAUAUGUGGAGGAAUACCGAUGGCGAAGGCAGCCCCCUGGGGAUAACACUGACGCUCAUGCACGAAAGCGUAGGGGAGCAAACAGGAUUAGAUACCCUGGUAGUCCACGCCCUAAACGAUGUCUACUAGUUGUCGGGUCUUAAUUGACUUGGUAACGCAGCUAACGCGUGAAAGUAGACCGCCUGGGGAAGCGAGGUUCGCAAGAUUAAAACGUCAAAGGAUUGGACGG